rnacentral:rRNA from 1 species
AUUGAACGCUGGCGGCAGGCCUAACACAUGCAAGUCGAGCGGAGAGGCGGACGGGUGAGUAAUGCAUAGGAAUCUGCCUGGUAGUGGGGGAUAACGUCCGGAACCGGGCGCUAAUACCGCAUCCUAUCAGAUGAGCAUAGGGCGGAUUAGCUAGUUGGGGGGGUAGAGGCCGACCAAGGCGACGAUCCGUAACUGGUCUGAGAGGAUGAUCAGUCACACUGGAACUGAGACACGGUCCAGACUCCUACGGGAGGCAGCAGUGGGGAAUAUUGGACAAUGGGCGAAAGCCUGAUCCAGCCAUGCCGCGUGUGUGAAGAAGGUCUUCGGAUUGUAAAGCACUUUAAGUUGGGAGGCGUUACCAACAGAAUAAGCACCGGCUAACUUCGUGCCAGCCGCCGCGGUAAUAC